rnacentral:rRNA from 1 species
CGGGUAGUCCCAGCUGUAACGAUGCAGACUCGGUGAUGCAUUGGCUUGUGGCCAAUGCAGUGCCGCAGGGAAGCCGUUAAGUCUGCCGCCUGGGAAGUACGUACGCAAGUAUGAAACUUAAAGGAAUUGGCGGGGGAGCACCACAAGGGGUGAAGCCUGCGGUU